ensembl:rRNA 5S_rRNA 5S ribosomal RNA
GCUUAUGGCCAUACCACCCUGAACACGCCCGAUCUUGUCUGAUCUUGGAAGCUAAGCAGGGUCGGGCCUGGUCAGUAUUUGGAUGGAGACCGCCUGGGAAUACCAGGUGCUGUAAGCU